rnacentral:tRNA from 1 species
GGAGAGAUGGCUGAGUGGUUUAAGGCGGCGGUCUUGAAAACCGUUGUGGGUGAAUAGCCCACCCAGGGUUCGAAUCCCUGUCUCUCCG